AUACGGAAGGUCCGGGCGUUAUCCGGAUUUAUUGGGUUUAAAGGGAGCGCAGGCGGAGAUGCAAGCGUGACGUCAAAUUUCGGGGCUCAACCCCGUCUCGCGUCGCGAACUGCGUCCCUUGGUUGCGGGAAGGGGAGGCGGAACUCGUGGGGUCGCGGUGAAAUGCAUAGAUAUCACGAAGAACUCCGAUCGCGAAGGCAGCCUUCCGGCCCGUCAACGACGCUCAUGCUCGAAGGUGCGGGUAUCAAACAGGAUUAGAUACCCUGGUAGUCCGCACAGUAAACGAUGGACACCCGCGGUUUGGCCUGUAUGGCUGAGCCGCCAAGCGAAAGCGUUAAGUGUCCCACCUGGGGAGUACGCCGGCAACGGUGAAACUCAAAGGAAUUGGCGGGG
rnacentral:rRNA from 1 species